rnacentral:rRNA from 1 species
UACGAAGGGGGCUAGCGUUGUUCGGAAUUACUGGGCGUAAAGCGCACGUAGGCGGAUAUUUAAGUCAGGGGUGAAAUCCUGGAGCUCAACUCCAGAACUGCCUUUGAUACUGAAGAUCUUGAGUUCGGGAGAGGUGAGUGGAACUGCGAGUGUAGAGGUGAAAUUCGUAGAUAUUCGCAAGAACACCAGUGGCGAAGGCGGCUCACUGGCCCGAUACUGACGCUGAUGCACGAAAGCGUGGGGAGCAAACAGG